UGGGGGAGCUGAUGUACAUGUGGCCUUUAGGCUGCAGCCAAAGCGUUCCUCUAGAUCUGGAAGUCUGAAGAGGGUUGCAGUCUCCAAGCUCAGAUACAACCACGUAUUAGUCUGGCACAACUGAUUUUUACAACUAUUUACAAGUU